ACGGCGAUCCACAUCGAGUUGGCUUUUUUUGGGCGUUUUUAGACGAAUUCAGCCAAAUGUGCCCUGUUCCUACGAGGAAACACACUUAGGGCCCUCGGUGGGCCAAAAAAUGUAGAAAACCGAAACUCACCGGCGGUAGGACUCUCCGGUCCGCCGGCUCUUCCGGCUCACGUUGUGAUUGGGUAUUUUGCUUCUGUUAACCUGUAGAGAAGGAAACGGUGGUCACAACGGUGAAAAAAUCAAAUCGAAUGGGAAUCGGAAAGGGCCUCAUCGGAGGCAUUUUCUG
rnacentral:lncRNA from 1 species